GACUCAGUCGGUUGAGUGUGGUGCUGAUAACACCAAGGUCGCGGGUUUGAUCCCUGU
rnacentral:tRNA from 1 species